AAUAAGGCCCUCUUUGGGGCCAUUUUCAUAAACAGAAUUGAGAUA
rfam:Neotoma lepida isolate 417 scaffold_3605, whole genome shotgun sequence.